GGAAGUUGUCACCAGCACAUAUACUGCUCUUUAAAGACAUGGAGGACACAGUGCAUCUUUACAAGUCGGCACUGCUGGUUAUUGGUGUCCAUUUGUGUCUGGGCUCAGUCUUGGUGGAUCCCAGUCUGUAUACAAUAUUUGCUGCUCAAACUAUAUAUUUGACGGGAACAGGUGCAUAGAGUGCCCGGCGGGGACUUAUGGAGUGAACUGCAGUGAAGCUUGUCCGGAAGGAUACUAUGGACGUUUAUGUAAGGACGUAUGCCCAUUACAGUGCGACCAAACAUGUGACGUAAUAUCGGGAGAGUGUCCAGAGUGUACGCCUGGCAAAUAUGGAGUCAACUGCAGUGAAGGUUGUCCCGAUGGAUUCUUUGGACGGUUAUGCGAGAAGAAAUGUCCAUCAGAGUGCAACGAAACAUGUGACAAAAUAUCGGGAGAUUGUCCUGGUAAAAGCAACAUUUCCUUUAAUAUUGCAUUUUGGAACAACAUAUAUAUAAAUACCUUAAAAGAGUUUUAUGUCACACAGCUUAGUAUUCAGAAGGGCAUCGCAUAAAACGAUUGGUUUUUAUUAAGUAUUGUGGCGGGUCUAGAUGUAAGAAUAAGAAAAGAGUAUUUUUAAAUACAUGUUUAAGUUGUGUUAUACGAGAAAUGUUAUCCUUAUAUCUUAUUCUGUCUUUCCUUUUUCAUGUUUUGCAAAUGAAGAGAAAAUAUGUGAGUGCCAUUUAAUGAACCACAGUACAAGUAUGGAUGAUCUGGCAGUACAGAAGAUACAAUUAGAGAUUGAAUACCUACAACUGAAGAUAAAGAAACUGAAAGGAAAGAACUGAUACUGAAGGACGUUAGUUUCAACGUAUUCAGUUUUGUAACCGUUUGUUAACAAAUCCAAUUAUUUAUCAACAGUCAUGCAUUGUAAAGUAAAGUAACUGAUGCAAUCAAUGGUAUUAUCAAAUUAAAAAAGAUAAUAAAAAAAGAUAAAGUAAAUUAGAUAUGAAAGUUAUGUAAUUUGACAUGAUGUAUUUUCAAAAAUUUUAACCAGCUUUAAAACUUUGUAAAUAUUGGAAAUAAAAGCAAACGAUAGGC
rnacentral:misc_RNA from 1 species